GAGGAGGGGAACAUUAUUUUUUUAUUAUAUAAUCUUUAUUUUUUAUUUUUUUAUUUUUUUCUUUAAAUAUAAAUAUAUUUAUAUUUACAUUAAUUUAUUAUUAUUAUUUUUUCAAUGUAUAUUCUUUAUACAUUAAAAAAUAUUUAUAUUUGCUUUUUUUUGCAGCUUUUAAAAAAAAUAUAUAUUUUUUUAAUUGGAAAUUGAAGGAGGGUUAGGGUUGGGAUCAUUAGAAAGGUGAAAGGUUGGUAACAGAAUGGGAAAAGGGGUUUGGGGGGUUGAAGGAAAGGAAUGAGGGAUAGGUGAGGGGGUUGAGGAAAUAUCAGGGGGUGAGGAAAUGUCAGAGGGUAGGGUGACAGUGUCAAGGUAGGGAAUGAAGAGGGAGGAAGAGGAGCUAAUGUUCCUCGACAUCAGCCGAGCAACCAGCAACCUCCUUCACCCGGGUGUCUCUCUUUUUCGUCAUUCUUAGGGUCCAGAGACCUUUUUUGACUCUCUUUCUCCCCCUAUCUUGGUUUUUGCUUUUCUCCUCUUCAUGUUCUCUUUCCUCUUCUUGUUCUCUUUCCUCUUCUUCUUGUUCUCUUUGCUCUUCUUCUUGUUCUCCUUCCUCCUCUUUUUCUCUUUCUCUCAGCUGCCUUAAUUCCUUCUUCUUCUUCUCUUUAAGUUGUUUCCGGAGGGUUUUCUCCUCCGCUGUCUCCUUUUUAAAGACUGUGGACAGGAAGCCUCUUUUCUUUAGAGAGACGAGAAGAGUCAGCUCCCUCUUCUCCUUCUCUAACUCUUGAAUUCUGUCUGUCAGAGUCUCUUCCUCCUCCAGGUCUUUCCUUUUUUUCUUCUGGAGGGUCUCGUUGUUUUGCAGCUGAGUUGUGGUCUCAAUGAGUCUUUGAGUGAGACCCUCUUUCUCCCUCCUCAGCUCCAUGAUGUGUUUGUCCCUCUGCUCAAGCUGCUGUUUUGUGAGCUUUAGCAUUGUUUCACUGUUCUUGCUCAGAGAAACAGCCUUCAGGUUCUCCUGAGACGCCUGAAAAAGCUGUUCUCGGAGCUCAUGAACUUUCUGUCUCUCCUCCUUAAGUUGAGCCCACAUCUUCUCUUCCUGCUCCUUCUGCAGGCGCUGGAUAAGCUCCACCUGCUCGUCUCUUAAUUUGAGGCUGCUGUUGAGGCGUUGGAUCUCAGCCUCCAGCCUUUCAAUCGUCUGGACAUUAUUCUGGAGUUCCUCCUUGAAUCCAUUUUCUCUGACGUCAAUGAGUCUUAAACAAUAAAAGACGAAAAGAGGAAAAUAUUCUAUUCUAGGCUGCAGUCUGCUGGGGGGGAAGCAUUAAACACAAAGAUGCAAGACGUCUUAAACAAACUGGUGAAAAAGGCUGGCUCUGUGGUUGGACUCAAGCUGGACUCAGUGGAGGAUGUGGUGGAGAGAUCUACACUGAGGAAGGGAGAGACUAUUCUCAAGAACAUGGAUCGCCCACUUCACAACACCUUGAUGGACCAAAGGGCAAAUGGUGGUGGACAGCUCCUCUCUUCACUGCAGGACAGAGAGAGUCACAAGAUCUUUUGUACCAACAGCCAUCAGGCUUUAUAACUUGUAUGUAAAUAAUAGAUAAUUUUUAUAGACAUAUUAUAUGAGACAACAGACAAUUGAAUUUCCCUUCGGGAAUCAAUUAAGUUCUUCUUCUUCUUCAUAUGAUAAAUAGAAUAAUAGAGUCAAAUUAGCCCCGUGUCUGUUGCCAAAUCCACCUGAAACAUGUUUCUGGCUAAGAUAAUUAUAGAUAUUAGAUUGUCAUGUGCAUGGAUUAGUUGGUGUUAUUUACUGUUCAUAUUUCAUUAAAAAAAACUGCUAUGUGAUAGCGGCAUUAUGGAAGAGCUAUCGGCAAGUAUCAGCAUUUGUAUUGGCUGUUGAAAAACCAAAAACUAGUUUACAGCCUGGUACAAAAAAGAAAAAAUUACUGGUUCAAUCUUCUGUCAUUGUUUUUUUUUUUUUUUUUUUUUUCUUAAUCUCAGUGCUUUUAUUUUGGAGAUUUAUGAGCUAACUCAUCUGCAGCUGUGAGUGGAGAGGCUAAAACCCUGCCAUAACAUCUCUAUGCAUCCUGAGACUAAGAAGUUCGACUGAGUCAGCAUUUUCUAUUUGGAGUCUCAAAACCCCUUUGCAGAAACAAACAGGUGAUGUCACUAUAAUCAUGCUUUAAAUGUAUAAAAUGAACUAAUGCACGACAGGAGCUUAAUGUCCUCUAAGGCUACUGCUGCUUCACUAAGAAUGAGUAUAAGAAUAAGAAGAACUUUAUUAAUCCCCGAAGGGAAAUUAAAUUGUCUGUUGUCUCAAAUAAUGUGUCUCUGUGAAGUGUGUGAUCCAUGUUCUUGAGAAUAGUCUCCACCUUCCUCAGUGUAGAUCUCUCCACCACAUCCUCCACUGAGUCCAGCUUGAGUCCAACCACAAAACCAGCCUUUUUCUGGCUGAAGAGGGGGUUUGGAUCUACAAAAGUCUUUGACCAUCUCCUUUGUCUUUGAGGAAUUGAGGAGGAGGCAGUUUUUGUGACUCCAGUCACUGAAGGCUCUUAUUAGAUCUCUGUAUUCAGCUUCUUGUCCAUUUGCGAUAUAUGCCCCAAUAGCGGUGUCAUCUGAGUAUUUCUGGAUGUGGCAGGACUCAGUACUAUAUUUGAAGUCUGACGUGUACAGUGUGAACAGGAAUGGCGCCAGCACUGUCCCUUGUGGAGCCCCUGUACUGCUCAUUAAUGUCCCAGAAACACAGUUCCCCAGCCUGACAAACUGUUGCCUUCCUGUCAGGUUAUCUGUGAUCCAGGAAACACAGGAAGGAUCCACUUCCAUCUCUGUGAGCUUGUCUUUUGAGUAUGGUGGGUUGGAUGGUGUUGAAUGCACUUGAAAAGUCGAAGAACACGAUCCUCACAUAAACCCCAGGUUCCUCCUGAUGAGACAGGGCAUGGUGAAGCAUGUAGAGGACAGCAUUGUCCACUCCAAUGUGUUCUUUGUAUGCAAACUGCUGGGAGUCCAGUUUGUCUUUGACAUCAGACCUCAGAAGGCGUCAGCCGCUCCAGAGUUUUCAUGAUGUGUGAAGUGAGGGCCAGUGGUCUGUAGUUAUUGAGUUCAGCAGGACAUUUUGUUUUUGGUACUGGCACAAUGCAGGAUGCUUUUUUACAGAUUAGGUACCCGCCCCAGCUGUAGACUCAGGUUGAAGAUCUUGUGGAGAGGUUGACACAGUUCUGCAGCACAGUCUCUAAACAGCCUUGGACACACACCAUCUGGACCAGCUGCCUUCCCAGGACAAAGUCUUCCAAGCUCCAUCCUCACCCCUGUUUCAGUGACAGACAAGGACUGAUGUUCUAGGAGGGAGGCAGUUGAAGUGGUUGAGACAUUUGAACGUGAUGGAGGAGGAAGGGGAGAAGUUGUAGUGGAGAUUUGUUGCGGAGAGGAAGGUGGAGUAGCAGUGGAAGUGGGAGUGAUAGCAGUGUGAAAUCUGUAGAAGAACAGGUUGAGUUCAUCAGCUAUUUCCACAUCAUCCACCACUGUCUGUCUUUUCCUUUUAUUGCUGUGUCCAGAGAUGGUGCUGAUUCCUCUCCACACUUCACCAGAUGUUGCUGUGUUGUAAAUUCUUCUCUAUCUUCUUUUUGUACUCCAGCUUUGCUAUCUUCAGUCUCCUCUUCAACUCUUGUUGCACUUGUUUGAGUCGUUCUUUGUCACCAUCUUUAAAAGCUUUCUUUUUCUGGUUAAGGAUUGCUUUUAUGUCUCUCGUGUCCAGGAUUUGUUGUUGGGGAAACAGCGAACAGUCUUUUUGGGUAUAACUGUGUCUCUACAGAAGUUGACAUAAUCAGUAAAGCAGUCAACGUGUUUCUC